CUUUUUGCUCAAAGAAGUUUACUUGAUCUUUACCAAAUGACACUCUUUGAAUAUGGGGAGGGAAGAGGAAUUGUAGAAAUUCACCAGGUCUAGACAGUGUUGUAUACCAUAUAGCCAACCCAGAUAAAGACAAAUGUAAUGUAAUGUAAUGAUUUAUAUUAUUUCAUAAGUCCAUGAUAAAGAAGAUAUUCCCUGUGAUUGGUCAGUGGUAGCCAAGAAGGCUUCUGGAGUGUAACUGCUUUCCAUCUGUAUUUGAAAAAUUCUUUGAUAUUCAAGAAAAAGGGGAGGUAGGAUGAAAGAGAGCUGUGAUCAAUAACAGAACAGAAAAAAUAAAAGCUAUUGGCGAAUACAAAAUUGCAUAACGUCUCUUUAAGACAAAUACUAGUAACUUCUCACUGUUAGCUAAACAUUUUUCAAAAGCACUGUAUAGAAGUGAGAUCUUUCAGAAACAUUGUGAAUAAGUUAUUCCAUUUAUUGAUUGUGGCAGUUGAUAAUAUUAAUGAUUUAUUUUGUAAAAAUGUAUAUUAAGUAAACUGUUGGAUAAUUUUCCCCAAUUCAUUACUUAUUUGAAUGAAAAUAAUGAUUAAUUUCAAAAAUUGGUAUAAAAUCUGUAGGUAUCAUUAUGUGGAUAUAAAGAAAAGCUGUGUGGUGAUCCUCUUUAGCACUGAGUUCAAAGAUCUAGAUGAUGUCAUCAUUGGAUAUAAA